rnacentral:rRNA from 1 species
GACGAACGCUGGCGGCGUGCCUAAUACAUGCAAGUCGAACGCAGUGAGGACGGGUGAGUAACACGUGGGUAACCUCCCAUCAGAGGGGAUAACACUUGGAAACAGGUGCUAAACCGAUACUGAUGGAGGAACCCGCGGUGCAUUCGCUAGUUGGUGAGGUAACGGCUCACCAAGGCCACGAUGCAUAGCCGACCUGAGAGGGGGAUCGGCCCAACUGGGACCGAGACACUGCCCAGACUCCUUCGGGAGGCAGCAGUAGGGACGCUUCGGCAAUGGACGAAAGUCUGACCGAGAAACGCCGCGUGAUUGAAGAAGGUUUUCGGAUCGUAAAGCUCUGUUGUUAGAGAAGCGGUAACUAACCAGAAAGGGACGGCCAACUACGUGCCAGCAGCCGCGGUAAUUC